rnacentral:tRNA from 1 species
UCCGAUAUGGUGUAGUGGCCAACAUGAUGCCCUCUCAUUAACUUGCGAGGUUAGGCAUAGCCCCGAGUCCCCGAGUUCGAUUCUCGGUUUCGGAA